rnacentral:rRNA from 1 species
UACGGAGGAUGCAAGCGUUAUCCGGAUUGAUUGGGCGUAAAGAGCGUGUAGGCGGCCAAGCAGGUCCGUUGUGAAAACUGGAGGCUUAACCUCCAGACGUCGACGGAAACCGCGCGGCUAGAGUCCGGAAGAGGAGAGUGGAAUUCCUGGUGUAGCGGUGAAAUGCGCAGAUAUCAGGAAGAACACCAAUGGCGAAGGCAGCAAACUGGGCAUUAACUGACGCUGAGGCGCGAAAGCGUGGGUAGCAAACAGG